CGCGGAUACGGACGGACGGAUGGCGACGGAUGGACCGGACGGAUGACAUAUAUAUGUCAUUAUAUAGUCUGCGCGCAGCCGCGCAGGGUAGUUAGUGGCUUACGUCUUCGCUGGUUAUACUUUAAAAUAAUUUUGUAUAUGAAAUUUUUUUUCUGUGUUGGUGUAGUGUACUCAGGUGAAUAUGAUAUUUGUGGUGUUACUCUGAGUGUAUAUCCACACCGGGCGAGCUUGAAAAAUAUGCCCGGCCACGGUGGGAUUCGAACCUACGACCUUUGGAAUACUAGCCCAAUGCUCUUCCAACUGAGCUACGCGGUCAAGACGGUUCGAGUAAGUGAUAUUUCGGAACAGAAUCUAGUUCCUUCGAUACCAAUGUAUUCUAGUAAUAUGAAUUUUUUUAUUUCUUUCUGUGUUGGUGUAGUGUACUCAGGUGAAUAUGAUAUUUGUGGUGUUACUCUGAGUGUAUAUCCACACCGGGCGAGCUUGAAAAAUAUGCUCGGCCACGGUGGGAUUCGAACCUACGACCUUUGGAAUACUAGCCCAAUGCUCUUCCAACUGAGCUACGCGGUCAGGACGGUUCGAGUAAGUGAUAUUUCGGAACAGAAUCUAGUUCCUUCGAUACCAAUGUAUUCUAG
rnacentral:tRNA from 1 species